rnacentral:tRNA from 1 species
GGUUCCAUACAGCAGUAGUUAGCACAUCUGCUUUACAUGCAGAAGGUCCUGGGUUCGAGCCCCAGCGGAGCCA